rnacentral:rRNA from 1 species
UACGUAGGGGGCAAGCGUUAUCCGGAUUUACUGGGUGUAAAGGGAGCGUAGACGGCAGCGCAAGUCUGGAGUGAAAUCCCAUGGCUUAACCAUGGAACUGCUUUGGAAACUGUGCAGCUAGAGUGCAGGAGAGGUAAGCGGAAUUCCUUGUGUAGCGGUGAAAUGCGUAGAUAUUAGGAGGAACACCAGUGGCGAAGGCGGCUUACUGGACUGUAACUGACGUUGAGGCUCGAAAGCGUGGGGAGCAAACAGG